GGUCAUCAUAUGCUGACAAAUUUAAAACCCUAUUUCACCCGGGGAAUCAUUGUUGGUGUGGGAUCAAGUCUGGCCUACACUCCAGGUGUCAUCAUGGUUAGUUUGUAUUUUACUAAGAAACGCUCUUUGGCUACUGGCCUAGUGAUGGCUGGAGGGGCUUCAGGAACGUUCAUUCAGAAUAAGCUGCAGCACGUUCUCAUCCAGCAGCUGGAAUGGAGAGGCAGCCUAAGGGCCUAUAGCGCAAUGCUGGCCAUAUGUGUUCUUGCUGCCCCAGAUCUCAGAUAGAACUCAUCCAAGUGUAGUUGAAAAAUUUAACACAUCGCCUCUAAGAGGGUUUAUAGUCGAUGUAGGUUUAUGGAAAGAUCGCAUUUUUGAGAUAUGGGUCGGUUCUCUUGGAUUAGCAAAAUUUGGAUUCUACAUACCUUUUGUGCAUAUGAUGAAACAUGCAGAUGAUUUAGGUAUUCCUAUGGAAAAAGCAUCCUACAUUAUGGUGGGACUUGGAGUAAGCAGCAUGAUUAGUUGUCUUCUAUUUGGAAGAUUUGUGAUAUUAAAAGUGUCAACCGACUUUAUGUGAACCAGACAUCCAUAUUAUGUGUUGGUAUGGUCUACUCCAGUGAUGGGCAACCUUUUGGCGUGGUGU